rnacentral:rRNA from 1 species
GACGAACCGUGCAAACGUUGUUCGGAUUCACUGGGCUUAAAGGGCGCGUAGGCGGGCUGUCAAGUCCGGGGUGAAAUCUUUCGGCUCAACCGGAAAACUGCCUUGGAUACUGACAGUCUCGAGGGAGGUAGGGGCAGACGGAACUUCCGGUGGAGCGGUGAAAUGCGUUGAUAUCGGAAGGAACGCCGGUGGCGAAAGCGGUCUGCUGGAUCUCUACUGACGCUGAGGCGCGAAAGCCAGGGGAGCAAACGGG